UAGAGUGAUGCGUUUUCCCUAGCCUAAUGCGAUUUACAGAUUCACAUAUAUGACACUUGACAUAAACUAUUCCUGUAACUCCAUAUGGUCUAACACCCAAAGAAUUGGGCAAGUGUAAAUUAAUGGAACAUGUGGUGCAGUGUUUAAACUGUUGUGAAAUCAGAUCUAGUUCACAAACAUAUCUACAAUGAUCUAGUGGUAGCAAAUCAACUGGAAGAACUUCAUCAAACAAGUAGUCAGAGUCACUUUUGCCAAAUGUACAGUAUGUAUGAUCAGACUCAAAGGGAAAGUUUGGUAAUGUAAUUUCCUUCUUCUUGUUCCAGUUUUUUGUAAACACCAAUUCUUGAACACGUUUUGAUUUGGUUACAUUUGGGCUUUUGGAAAAUUUACCCCGUUUAUUUCGUCGAGUUCUCAUGAUUGUUUGUAGCAG
rnacentral:lncRNA from 1 species